rnacentral:tRNA from 1 species
GUGUUUGUAGUCCAAUGGUUAUGAUUAUUGCCUUCAAAGCAAUAGACCUGGGUUCGACCCUCCGGGCACC